AUUGAACGCUGGCGGCAGGCCUAACACAUGCAAGUCGGGCGAGUGGCGGACGGGUGAGUAAUGUCUGGGGAACUGCCCGAUGGAGGGGGAUAACUACUGGAAACGGUAGCUAAUACCGCAUACCAUCAGAUGAACCCAGAUGGGAUUAGCUAGUAGGUGGGGUAACGGCUCACCUAGGCGACGAUCCCUAGCUGGUCUGAGAGGAUGAUCAGCCACACUGGGACUGAGACACGGCCCAGACUCCUACGGGAGGCAGCAGGGGGGAAUAUUGCACAAUGGGCGCAAGCCUGAUGCAGCCAUGCCGCGUGUAUGAAGAAGGCCUUCGGGUUGUAAAGUACUUUCAGUGAGGAGGCGUUACUCGCAGAAGAAGCACCGGCUAACUCCGUGCCAGCAGCCGCGGUAAUUC
rnacentral:rRNA from 1 species